rnacentral:rRNA from 1 species
GAUGAACGCUGGCGGCGUGCUUAACACAUGCAAGUCGAACGGAAAGGCUCCUGCUUGCAGGGGUACUCGAGUGGCGAACGGGUGAGUAACACGUGGGUGAUCUGCCCUGCACUUCGGGAUAAGCCUGGGAAACUGGGUCUAAUACCGGAUAGGACGAUGGUUUGGAUGCCAUUGUGGAAAGUUUUUCGGUGUGGGAUGAGCUCGCGGCCUAUCAGCUUGUUGUUGGGGUAAUGGCCUACCAAGGCGUCGACGGGUAGCCGGCCUGAGAGGGUGUACGGACACAUUGGGACAGAGAUACGGCCCAGACUCCUACGGGAGGCAGCAGUGGGGAAUAUUGAACAAUGGGCGGAAGCCUGAUGCAGCGACGCCGCGUGGGGGAUGACGGCCUUCGGGUUGUAAACUCCUUUCGCUAGGAACGAAGCGAAAGUGACGGUACCUGGAGAAGAAGCACCGGCUAACUACGUG